rnacentral:rRNA from 1 species
UACGUAGGGGGCUAGCGUUAUCCAGAUUUACUGGGCGUAAAGCGCGUGUAGGCGGCUGGUUAGGUGUGAUGUGAAAUCUUCGGGCUCAACCCGAAAACUGCAUUGCAAACCGGCCUGGCUAGAGUGCAGGAGAGGGAAGCGGAAUUCCAGGUGUAGCGGUGAAAUGCGCAGAUAUCAGGAGGAACACUGGUGGUGUAAACGGCUUUCUGGACCAUAACUGACGCUGAGGCACGAAAGCGUGGGUAGCAAACAGG